GAACGCAGCCGAAUCGCGAUAUGUAAUGUGAAUUGCAGAUCUACAGUGAAUCAUCGAAUCUUUGAACGCACCUUGCGCUUAUCGGUGUUCCGAUGAGCAUGCCUGUUUGAGCGUCAUU
rnacentral:rRNA from 1 species